rnacentral:rRNA from 1 species
GACGAACGCUGGCGGCGUGCUUAACACAUGCAAGUCGAACGGAAAGGCCCUGCUUGUGUUGGGUGCUCGAGUGGCGAACGGGUGUGUAACACGUGAGUAACCUGCCCUGUACUUUGGGGUAACUCCAGGACACGGGUGCUAAUACCGGAUAGGAGCUCCUGCUGCAUGGUGGGGGUUGGAAAGUGUGGGCGGUUGGGGAUGGACUCGCGGGUUAUCAGCUUGUUGGUGGGGGAGUUGCUUACCAAGGCUUUGACGGGUAGCCGGCCUGAGAGGGUGACCGGCCACAUUGGGACUGAGGUACGGCCCAGACUCGUACGGGAGGCAGCAGUGGGGAAUCUUGCACAAUGGGCGGAAGCCUGAUGCAGCAACGCCGCGUGCGGGAUGACGGCCUUCGGGUUGUAAAACGCUUUCGCCUGUGACGAAGCGUGAGUGACGGUAAUGGGUAAAGAAGCACCGGCUAACUACGUG